GACGGAGGAGGCAAGCGUUGUUCGGAAUUACUGGGCGUAAAGCGCGCGUAGGCGGUUGGGUAAGUCGGAUGUGAAAGCCCCGGGCUUAACCUGGGAAUUGCAUUCGAUACUGCCCGGCUAGAGUAUGGGAGAGGGAAGCGGAAUUUCCGGUGUAGCGGUGAAAUGCGUAGAUAUCGGAAGGAACACCAGUGGCGAAGGCGGCUUCCUGGCCCAAUACUGACGCUGAGGUGCGAAAGCGUGGGGAGCGAACAGG
rnacentral:rRNA from 1 species